AUAAAGCAAAGAAUUACGGUCGGGUGCCUUGGCGCGCUGCCAAGAGCACACCUGGUAUCUUGGGAACACCCUUUUUAUCCCAUCCUGCUGUGAGGGUUUCAUGCAUAUUCAAAGCAUGUCCCCUGCCUGGUUCCGCCUUCUUAGAACAUGCUCUGUAUGGUUUUAUUUUUGCUGAUCAUCAUUGUUUUUGAGUUUGUUUUCCUUUCUUCUGCAAAUGGUCAGUGUUGAUAACAGUCUGGGCCCCUCAUCCUUCCUCUGAGGCCAGCUGGGCUUCAUAUCUUUCAGCUGCCUACAGCCUGGUCCUGGCUGCUAAUAACAGCUUGGUCUCCUUUUCCUGCUGCUGAUAACAGCCUGGUUUCCACUGUCCUUCCACUGAAAACAGCUUGGUCCUCCCAUUGUCUUGCCUGUUGGAGUUAUCUUGCCUUGUCUGGAUGAAACAUAUCCCUCCCGUUCAGAAUUCCUUUCUAAGCCUAUAACUUGCUAAGAGAGAGAAGAAUAUAGCAAAAAGCAUAUAGCAUAUAACAUUUAUCAGAAUACUUGCGAAAAGCCAAUAUUUACAAUAUGAAUUCACAACACAUUUCUUUUGGCUUAGAGGUCCAAAAGAAUCCAAGGAACCUCCUCAUCCUAUGGUGCAUUUAUGCUCGCAUCUUGUUUAGGGAUUUCAGCUCCUUAUCUCAUCCUGCAGUCUUUAUUCUCUUCCUGCUCUUAUGGGAGCAGUCAGCAUUUCACACGGGUUUUGUAGCCUCUUCUUUUACUCAAGGCAACUUUUAUAAUUAAUUCCUAAUUCUUAAUUUCUCUGUUUCAAACGGGGUGCUUUGGAGGGUGGGAGUUUGGAAAGGACCAGUUACUAAUCACGGCUGGCCAGCUCCCCAACCUUCUAAAAAUCAGGGAAGAUAAGAAAUAACAGGUUAAGAUAAAAAAAAACAUACAUGGACAUUUUCAAAUGCCAAGCAUUAGUGUUAUAAGUAUUUAUAGUACUAUGAUUGUAAUUGUUAGUCUGUUAGUAUGUUCUUGUUUUCCCCUAUUAACUGUAUUGGUUUUGACCCCAGUUGUCAAUUAUGUAAACCCCUCCCCUUAUUCCCGAACCUUCCCUGCCCGUCACCCUGGCCUGCCCUAAUCCCCCUACCCAUCAUUAUAAACCCGACCCUUUCUCCCAGAACCUUCCAUGCUCCUCACCCCUACUUCGGUUCGCGAUUGGUUCCCUAGUUGCCCUCCCGCCCAUGACAUGUCCCUAUUGGUCACCAGUAAUGUAACCGCCUCCCCUCACUCCUCCUCCCCUGAUCCCUCAUUGGACCCUGAGUUGUACCCUCCCCUGGGGAUCAAGCGGUAUAUAACCUUGUGCACAGCUGUGUUGGGGGCUCUCCUUCCUCGUCGGGUUGUGAGUUGCAGGGAGUCAGGCUAGCCUGUCUCCCUACUCCUGGAGUAAAACCGCGGGAGGAGCCGCGGGGCGGAAGAAAAGGCGACAAAGGCACCCGCCCGACCUCUUUUGGAUGAGACACAAGGAAACGGAAAUAGCCGGUCAGAGGCGGGAGCGACCCCGCGCUGGGAUCGGGAGAACAGAGAUGAGUGUCCCGCGCCCGCCCCCGGAGCCCGCGCCGCCACAACGAGCCCGUGCUGAGAUUGGGGCGGAUCACGGCAACCCUGCCACGAGCCGGGCGGUACCGGGGGCUCCGUGUCGGCACCGGAGGAACGCAGAGCGACCACGGCUGCGGGUAAUGGCGGCGGCAUUUCCCCCCGCCCCCUCGGGCUCCCCGCAGCAGCGGCGCGGGAUGGGGAGAGAUCGGGGCUGCCCCCAGCACCGGCAGGGAGCGGGGGGCAGGGGGAAAAAAGCCCCGGCGGGGUCCGGCGCGGCAGCGGGGGGAUGGGGGAAACGCCCCGGUCCGUCAGCCCCCAGCCAAAGAAAAAAAAAACAAGUUUUUAACUCUGCGAAUAAACUAACAAACCUCGCCACAUCUAGAUGCAGAAAAUUUACAUACUUCCCACCCCUGGCUCCUCUGCCACAGUCGUAACACAGAAACUGGCCAAGUCCAGCCCUCUGGUCUUCAGGACGUGCGUUUGUUACGCUUCCAGAACAUAAUAAAUGUGUGCCAGCAGCACAGCUGCAAGUAUAUCUUUGGAAAUAAACCAGGCUGUCUUUCCAGAAGCCAUUUGUGCUGCCGGAUUGGCAGUGAGCUGUAACGACUGAGACACGGACUCAGCCAGAGAAUCUGAAUCGUUUAUUCAAAGAAACGAGCUGGUUUUAUACACUUC